rnacentral:rRNA from 1 species
AGUGAACGCUGGCGGCAGGCCUAAUACAUGCAAGUCGAACGGCAGCACAGCAGAGCUUGCUCUGUGGGUGGCGAGUGGCGGACGGGUGAGGAAUACGUGGGAAUCUGCCCAGUCGUGGGGGAUAACGUAGGGAAACUUACGCUAAUACCGCAUGCGCCCUUCGGGGGAAAGCCGGGGACCUUCGGGCCUGGCGCGAUUGGAUGAGCCCACGUCGGAUUAGCUAGUUGGCGGGGUAAAGGCCCACCAAGGCGACGAUCCGUAGCUGGUCUGAGGGGAGGAACAGCCACCCUGGAACUGAGACACGGUCCAGACUCCUACGGGAGGCAGCAGUAGGGAAUAUUGGACAAUGGGCGCAAGCCUGAUCCAGCCAUGCCGCGUGAGUGAAGAAGGCCCUCGGGUUGUAAAGCUCUUUUGUCCGGAAAGAAAAGCGCCGGGUUAAUACCCUGGUGUCCUGACGGUACCGGAAGAAUAAGCACCGGCUAACUUCGUGCCAGCCGCCGCGGUAACAC